rnacentral:rRNA from 1 species
UUAAGCGACUAAGCGUACACGGUGGAUGCCCCGGCAGUCAGAGGCGAUGAAGGACGUGCUAAUCUGCGAUAAGCGUCGGUAAGGUGAUAUGAACCGUUAUAACCGGCGAUUUCCGAAUGGGGAAACCCAGUGUGUUUCGACACACUAUCAUUAACUGAAUCCAUAGGUUAAUGAGGCGAACCGGGGAACUGAAACAUCUAAGUACCCCGAGGAAAAGAAAUCAACCGAGAUUCCCCAGUAGCGGCGAGCGAACGGGGAGCAGCCCAGAGCCUGAAUCAGUGUGUGUGUUAGUGGAAGCGUCUGGAAAGGCGCGCGAUACAGGGUGACAGCCCCGUACACAAAAAAAAUGCACAUGCUGUGAGCUCGAUGAGUAGGGCGGGACACGUGGUAUCCUGUCUGAAUAUGGGGGGACCAUCCUCCAAGGCUAAAUACUCCUGACUGACCGAUAGUGAACCAGUACCGUGAGGGAAAGGCGAAAAGAACCCCGGCGAGGGGAGUGAAAAGAACCUGAAACCGUGUACGUACAAGCAGUGGGAGCACGCUUAGGCGUGUGACUGCGUACCUUUGUAUAAUGGGUCAGCGACUUAUAUUCUGUAGCAAGGUUAACCGAAUAGGGGAGCCGAAGGGAAACCGAGUCUUAACUGGGCGUUAAGUUGCAGGGUAUAGACCCGAAACCCGGUGAUCUAGCCAUGGGCAGGUUGAAGGUUGGGUAACACUAACUGGAGGACCGAACCGACUAAUGUUGAAAAAAUUAGCGGAUGACUUGUGGCUGGGGUGAAAGGCCAAUCAAACCGGGAGAUAGCUGGUUCUCCCCGAAAGCUAUUUAGGUAGCGCCUCGUGAAUUCAUCUCCGGGGUAGAGCACUGUUUCGGCAAGGGGUCAUCCCGACUUACCAACCCGAUGCAAACUGCGAAUACCGGAGAAUGUUAUCACGGGAGACACACGGCGGGUGCUAACGUCCGUCGUGAAGAGGGAAACAACCCAGACCGCCAGCUAAGGUCCCAAAGUCAUGGUUAAGUGGGAAACGAUGUGGGAAGGCCCAGACAGCCGGGAUGUUGGCUUAGAAGCAGCCAUCAUUUAAAGAAAGCGUAAUAGCUCACUGGUCGAGUCGGCCUGCGCGGAAGAUGUAACGGGGCUAAACCAUGCACCGAAGCUGCGGCAGCGACACUAUGUGUUGUUGGGUAGGGAGCGUUCUGUAAGCCUGUGAAGGUGUACUGUGAGGUAUGCUGGAGGUAUCAGAAGUGCGAAUGCUGACAUAAGUAACGAUAAAGCGGGUGAAAAGCCCGCUCGCCGGAAGACCAAGGGUUCCUGUCCAACGUUAAUCGGGGCAGGGUGAGUCGACCCUAAGGCGAGGCCGAAAGGCGUAGUCGAUGGGAAACAGGUUAAUAUUCCUGUACUUGGUGUUACUGCUGCGAAGGGGACGGAGAAGGCUAUGUUGGCCGGGCGACGGUUGUCCCGGUUUAAGCGUGUAGGCUGGUUUUCCGGGCAAAUCCGGAAAAUCAAGGCUGAGGCGUGAUGACGAGGCACUACGGUGCUGAAGCAACAAAUGCCCUGCUUCCGGGGAAAAGCCUCUAAGCAUCAGGUAACAUCAAAUCGUACCCCAAACCGACACAGGUGGUCAGGUAGAGAAUACCAAGGCGCUUGAGAGAACUCGGGUGAAGGAACUAGGCAAAAUGGUGCCGUAACUUCGGGAGAAGGCACGCUGAUAUGUAGGUGAAGUCCCUCGCGGAUGGAGCUGAAAUCAGUCGAAGAUACCAGCUGGCUGCAACUGUUUAUUAAAACACAGCACUGUGCAAACACGAAAGUGGACGUAUACGGUGUGACGCCUGCCCGGUGCCGGAAGGUUAAUUGAUGGGGUCAGCGCAAGCGAAGCUCUUGAUCGAAGCCCCGGUAAACGGCGGCCGUAACUAUAACGGUCCUAAGGUAGCGAAAUUCCUUGUCGGGUAAGUUCCGACCUGCACGAAUGGCGUAAUGAUGGCGGGCUGUCUCCACCCGAGACUCAGUGAAAUUGAACUCGCUGUGAAGAUGCAGUGUACCCGCGGCAAGACGGAAAGACCCCGUGAACCUUUACUAUAGCUUGACACUGAACAUUGAGCCUUGAUGUGUAGGAUAGGUGGGAGGCUUUGAAGUGUGGACGCCAGUCUGCAUGGAGCCGACCUUGAAAUACCACCCUUUAAUGUUUGAUGUUCUAACGUUGACCCGUGAUCCGGGUUGCGGACAGUGUCUGGUGGGUAGUUUGACUGGGGCGGUCUCCUCCUAAAGAGUAACGGAGGAGCACGAAGGUUGGCUAAUCUGGUCGGACAUCAGGAGGUUAGUGCAAUGGCAUAAGCCAGCUUGACUGCGAGCGUGACGGCGCGAGCAGGUGCGAAAGCAGGUCAUAGUGAUCCGGUGGUUCUGAAUGGAAGGGCCAUCGCUCAACGGAUAAAAGGUACUCCGGGAUAACAGGCUGAUACCGCCCAAGAGUUCAUAUCGACGGCGGUGUUUGGCACCUCGAUGUCGGCUCAUCACAUCACGGGGCUGAAGUAGGUCCCAAAGGGUAUGGCUGUUCGCCAUUUAAAGUGGUACGCGAGCUGGGUUUAGAACGUCGUGAGACAGUUCGGUCCCUAUCUGCCGUGGGCGCUGGAGAACUGAGGGGCUGCUCCUAGUACGAGAGGACCGGAGUGGACGCAUCACUGGUGUUCGGGUUGUCAUGCCAAUGGCACUGCCCGGUAGCUAAAUGCGGAAGAGAUAAGUGCUGAAAGCAUCUAAGCACGAAACUUGCCCCGAGAUGAGUUCUCCCUGACCCUUUAAGGGUCCUGAAGGAACGUUGAAGACGACGACGUUGAUAGGCCGGGUGUGUAAGCGCAGCGAUGCGUUGAGCUAACCGGUACUAAUGAACCGUGAGGCUUAACCUU